AGUAAAGCAUACAUAGCAAUAUUGUAUACAACUUCCAGAGAACAUUUUUCUGGCACUGAAACCUCCUGGGAAGAAAAUGAUGACACAUCCUGCAGGAAGAUGUUCUUGAAUAGAGGCAUGCUGAGAGGGAAUAAGAAACAGUAUCUACAAGACAGAUGACCAUAUGGAAAACAUGGAGAAAUGCAAGACUACUGCACGAUGAAAUCUGGACAAUUUGAAUCUUACUGGACCAUCACACCUGGAGAAAACCUGGGCACCUGUGCUGUUAGAGAAAGGCUCUAGCUGUUCUUUGGACCCCUCAAUAUUUAUUUUUUUAAAUAUUUUUAUUUUUAAUAUAUGAAGAAAGAAGGCUUUUUUUGACUUCUUUCACAUUUUCUCAGCCAUUCCUCUCCUAUCAGAUGAUGGUCAGAAACACGUUUUUCUCUGAAAUUUCCUUUCAAUUUGAACUAAUCUGACAAAGCAGAGUUUAAACUGCAAAAUUAAAUUAUUGCUGUAAUUUCUUCAUCUAUGUGCUUAAUUUAAUUAUAUUAUGACAGUAAUCAUGAAAGCAAAUCUAGUUUUUGCAUAAAGCAACCAAUAGCAAGAUUCACAUUCUUUUUGGCUGGUCAUAAUGUGAAGAUCUGUUAUCUGUAAAUCUUUCCACAAAAGCUCCUUUUAAAUGAUCAGUGUUUCCUUCCAUACACAUUAAGAAAAUAAC
rnacentral:lncRNA from 1 species